rnacentral:rRNA from 1 species
GAUGAACGCUGGCGGCGUGCCUAAUACAUGCAAGUAGAACGCUGAAGGAAGGAGCUUGCUCUUUCUGGAUGAGUUGCGAACGGGUGAGUAACGCGUAGGUAACCUGCCUGGUAGCGGGGGAUAACUAUUGGAAACGAUAGCUAAUACCGCAUAACAGUAGAUGUUGCAUGAUAUCUACUUAAAAGGUGCAAUUGCACCACUACCAGAUGGACCUGCGUUGUAUUAGCUAGUUGGUGAGGUAACGGCUCACCAAGGCGACGAUACAUAGCCGACCUGAGAGGGUGAUCGGCCACACUGAGACUGAGACACGGCCCAGACUCCUACGGGAGGCAGCAGUAGGGAAUCUUCGGCAAUGGACGGAAGUCUGACCGAGCAACGCCGCGUGAGUGAAGAAGGUUUUCGGAUCGUAAAGCUCUGUUGUAAGAGAAGAACGAGUGUGAGAGUGGAAAGUUCACACUGUGACGGUAGCUUACCAGAAAGGGAUGGCUAACUACGUG